UACGUAGGGGGCAAGCGUUGUCCGGAAUCAUUGGGCGUAAAGCGCGUGUAGGCGGCUCGAUAAGUCUGCUGUGAAAGUCCAGGGCUCAACCCUGGGAUGCCGGUGGAUACUGUCGAGCUCGAGUCCGGAAGAGGCGAGUGGAAUUCCUGGUGUAGCGGUGAAAUGCGCAGAUAUCAGGAGGAACACCGGUGGCGAAGGCGGCACUCUGGGACGGUACUGACGCUGAGACGCGAAAGCGUGGGGAGCGAACAGG
rnacentral:rRNA from 1 species